UGACACUACCUGUACCAGGUAAAGGAGUUUUCUUUCUUAAAAGAUCAUUUGUAACUUUUAAAACCUAGCUUGCUGACUUCUGGACACUUUUUUGAAAGAUUUAUUGUGCCACUUUUUUUUUUUUAAGUUAUACAAGAUUAAGCCAGAGGGCAUGAAAUAGUCCAAAAGUGCCACGAAAAGAGAGGCAUGAACAACAUCAAGUGGAUGAGUGUCCAUCAGCAUCGGAUGUUUAAAAAAAGUCAGCAGGAGCACCACCAGGUGGACUUCGAAGAAAAAAGCAGAGAGGAGCAAAAAGAAUAUCAAUUAUUCCAAUAAUUGUCAUGAGCCAUGGAAAUCCAAUUGCCUUUGCGAUAGCCCCACCAGCAGAAGGACCUUUCAGGAAACAGAGAAUUAGAUAUAGCUCUCUCUAAAUGUCUUGUA